rnacentral:rRNA from 1 species
AGCCACGGCUAACUACGUGCCAGCAGCCGCGGUAAUACGUAGGUGGCGAGCGUUAUCCGGAAUGAUUGGGCGUAAAGGGUGCGUAGGUGGCAGAACAAGUCUGGAGUAAAAGGUAUGGGCUCAACCCGUACUGGCUCUGGAAACUGUUCAGCUAGAGAACAGAAGAGGACGGCGGAACUCCAUGUGUAGCGGUAAAAUGCGUAGAUAUAUGGAAGAACACCGGUGGCGAAGGCGGCCGUCUGGUCUGGAUUCUGACACUGAAGCACGAAAGCGUGGGGAGCAAAUAGGAUUAGAUACCCUAGUAGUCCACGCCGUAAACGAUGGGGGCCAGGGCGCGGGGUCGACCCGCGUCCGAAGCAAACGCAUUAAGCCCCCCGCCUGGGUACUACGUUCGCAAGAAUAAAACUUAAAGGAAUUGGCGGGUGCCCGCACAAGCAGUGGAGCAUGCGGUUCAAUUCGUGGCUACACGUAGAACCUUACCAGGGUUUGACAUGCCGGCAAAGGCCCCGGAGACGGGGAGAUAGCUAUGCCGGACAAAGGUGGUGCAUGGCUGUCGUCAGCUCGUGUCGUGAGAUGUUAGGUCAAGUCCUCCAACGAGCGCGACCCCCGCCGCCAGUUGCCAUCAUUGAGUUGGGCACUCUGGCGGGACCGCCGGCGACAAGCCGGAGGAAGGCGGGGAUGACGUCAAGUCAUCAUGCCCCUUAUGCCCUGGGCCACACGCGUGCUACAAUGGCCGGCACAGUGGGAAGCGACGCCGCGAGGCGGAGCGGAUCCCAAAAGCCGGUCCCAGUACGGACCGGGGGCUGCAACCCGCCCCCGCGAAGCUGGAAUUGCUAGUAAUCGCGGAUCAGCCAAGCCGCGGUGAAUGCGUUCUCGGGCAUUGCACACACUGCCCGUCACACCAUGAAAGCCUGCAACGCUCUAAGUCGCCAGCCCGACCCGCGAGGGGGGGCGGCGCCCAAGGCGGGGCCGGUGAUUGGGGUUAAGUCGAAACAAGGUAUCCCUACGAGAACGUGGGGAUG